GAUGAACGCUGGCGGCGUGCUUAACACAUGCAAGUCGAACGAAGCAUUUAAGACAGAUUACUUCGGUUUGAAGUCUUUUAUGACUGAGUGGCGGACGGGUGAGUAACGCGUGGGUAACCUGCCUCAUACAGGGGGAUAGCAGCUGGAAACGGCUGGUAAUACCGCAUAAGCGCACAGUACCACAUGGUACAGUGUGAAAAACUCCGGUGGUAUGAGAUGGACCCGCGUCUGAUUAGCUUGUUGGCGGGGUAACGGCCCACCAAGGCGACGAUCAGUAGCCGACCUGAGAGGGUGACCGGCCACAUUGGGACUGAGACACGGCCCAGACUCCUACGGGAGGCAGCAGUGGGGAAUAUUGCACAAUGGAGGAAACUCUGAUGCAGCGACGCCGCGUGAGUGAAGAAGUAGUUCGCUAUGUAAAGCUCUAUCAGCAGGGAAGAUAGUGACGGUACCUGACUAAGAAGCUCCGGCUAAAUACGUG
rnacentral:rRNA from 2 species